rnacentral:tRNA from 1 species
CAAGGAAUAGUUUAAUAAGAAUAUCAGCUUUGGGUGCUGGUGGUGGAGUGUCGAUUCUUCUUCCUUGA